rnacentral:lncRNA from 10 species
GAGAGAGGCACAAAGAGUUUGAAGAGAGAGAGAGAGAAAGUUGCAUCUUGCCCUAAAAUCACUCCCUGGUAAGAGCCAAGGUGAAAGAGGACACUGGAGGGGAUGCUGAAAAGAUCGGGAUCCAGGAGAAAGAAGGAGAAGUGGGAGCAGCAGAGGCCUGACAGACCCACAGAAUUGGACAGAGUGGCAGCUGUUCUCUGGGCAGGGCUGAGUGAAAAUGCCUGGAAAAGGAAGGGGGUGGAAGAAAUCCAAGGCCAUUUGUGCUGCUGGGAGUCGUCACCAGCGGGAGACCCAGCAGGCUGACUUCCCACUGCACUCUACAGGGAAACACAGAGAACAGGGGAAAGAGAGAAGGAAGAGAAGGCCCUGAAGUUAAACAGUGUGCAUUGCAAAGGGAUUUUCAUCAGGCAAAGGACUUUAGAUUUUAUCCUGUAAAGACUCACUGAAGAAUUUUAAGCAAAGGAGUGACACAAUCAGAUUGCCAGUUUAAAGAGUUAUCUGGAAUCAGUGUGGAGAAGAGUUUGGAGAAAGGGAAUAAAGAGGCAGGGAAAUCAGAGCUUCUGACAAAAACCUGAGGUUUGUCAAAGAUGUGGCAUACAUACACCAUGGAAUACUAUGCAGCCAUAAAAAAUGAUGAGUUCAUGUCCUUUGUAGGGACAUGGAUGAAAUUGGAAAUCAUCAUUCUCAGUAAACUAUCGCAGGGACAAAGGGCCAGGCACCGCAUGUUCUCACUCACAGGUGGGAAUUGAACAAUGAGAGCACAUGGACACAGGAAGAGGAACAUCACAGUCUGGGGACUGUUGUGGGGUGGGGGGAGGGGGGAGGGAUGGCAUUAGGAGAUAUACCUAAUGCUAAAUGAUGAGUUGAUGGGUGCAGCACCCCAGCAUGGCACAUGUAUACAUAUGUAACUAACCUGCACAUUGUGCACAAGUACCCUAAAACUUAAAGUAUAAUAAUAAUAAUUAAAAAAAAUUAGAGAGCUAGACAAAUGCAGAUUUCUUCUAAGUGAAAAAAAAACACAAAUGUAUGUUUUUAAAAAUUAAUCAUUGUUCACACUCUUCUGAGUGUUGGGCCCAUUUAAAAAUCUCUUUUUGUUUCUGUCCAUGGAUUAUUAAAGCAGCUGACUUUUAUUUUUAAUUCAUUAAUGUCUAGGAUGUUAAUCUCUUCUACCCA